rnacentral:misc_RNA from 1 species
AAGUCGUAACAAGGUUCCGUAGGUGAACCUGCGAAGGAUCAUUAAAAAUGUGGUACCAAUUAUUGGUACUAAUUAAUCAUCCUACCUUUGUGAAUUUGUUUGUAUAAAUUUUUUAAAUGGGUCUUUCCCUAAGUUGGAUUGUUAGUAAAUACAAAAAGACUUAGGGGAAUGACUUUUUUAAAAGACUUUUUUAAUUAAAACUUUUUGUAUUCAUUUGUCUAAAAUUUAUUUUUAUAAUAUAAAAACAACUUUUGACAAUGGAUCUCUUGGUUCUCGCAGCGAUGAAGAACGCAGCAAAAUGCGAUAAGUAGUGUGAUUGGCAGAAUACGCGAAUCAUCGAAUCUUCGAACGCAUAUUGCACUUUUUUAGUUUACUAAAAAGUAUGUCUGUUUGAGUAUCAGUAAAAUAUUCUCACAAAACAAUUUGUUUUGUGGUUAUGAGUGUUUUACAACGAUAAACAAGUUGUUUCACUUUAAAUUCUUUUUAAUUGAAUUUUACCAAUUCAUAAAUUAAAAUUGGAUAAAAUUUUCCUUUAACGAGGAAUAACCUAAACAAUUUUAAAUUUUAUGGGAUUAAUUACAUCACAAAGGAAUCUAUACAACAAAUAACUUGAUCUCAAAUCAGAUAAGAGUACCGCUGAACUUAAGCAUAUCAAUAAGCGGAGGAAAAGAAACUAACAAGGAUUCCUUAGUAAGGCGAGUGAAGCGGGAAGAGCUCCAAAUUUGAAAUCUCAAGGUUUGACCUUGACGAAUUGUAGUUUAUAGAAGUGUUUUCUGUUGGAGUUUUGGUAAAAGUUCUUUGGAAUAGGACAUCAUAGAGGGUGAGAAUCCCGUAUUUGACCAUGACUUUCCAGCUGUGUGAUACACUUUCAAAGAGUCGGAUUGUUUGGGAAUGCAGUCCAAAAUGGGUGGUAAAUUUCAUCUAAAGCUAAAUAUUGGCGAGAGACCGAUAGCGAACAAGUACCGUGAGGGAAAGAUGAAAAGAACUUUGAAAAGAGAGUUAAACAGUACGUGAAAUUGUCAAAAGUGAAGCGUUUGACACCAGUGUUGUUUCUCGAAAUCAUUUAAUGGGUUCUUGUUUUUAAGUUAUUGUGACUUUAUCAGCGGCAUUUCUUAUUUUUACUUGGCUCAUUGAAUGCACUUUUCGUUUAACAAGUCAACAUCAAUUUCUUUGGUGGUAAAAGUUUUAAAGGAAGGUGGCUUGGAUCGUUCAAGUG